rnacentral:tRNA from 1 species
UGUCCGCGUAGCACAGCAGGAUAGUGCGACCGCCUCCUAAGCGGUAGGUCGGAGGUUCGAAUCCUCUCGUGGACGU